rnacentral:rRNA from 1 species
GACGAACGCUGGCGGCGUGCCUAAUACAUGCAAGUCGAACGAGAGCGACCGGUGCUUGCACUGGUCAAUCUAGUGGCGAACGGGUGAGUAACACGUGGGUAACCUGCCCAUCAGAGGGGGAUAACAUCCGGAAACGGAUGCUAAAACCGCAUAGGUCUUCGAACCGCAUGGUUUGAAGAGGAAAAGAGGCGCAAGCUUCUGCUGAUGGAUGGACCCGCGGUGCAUUAGCUAGUUGGUGAGGUAACGGCUCACCAAGGCCGUGAUGCAUAGCCGACCUGAGAGGGUGAUCGGCCACAUUGGGACUGAGACACGGCCCAAACUCCUACGGGAGGCAGCAGUAGGGAAUUUUCCGCAAUGGACGCAAGUCUGACGGAGCAACGCCGCGUGAGUGAAGAAGGUUUUCGGAUCGUAAAACUCUGUUGUUAGAGAAGAACAAGUGCUAGAGUAACUGUUAGCGCCUUGACGGUAUCUAACCAGAAAGCCACGGCUAACUACGUG